CCUACGGGAGGCAGCAGUGGGGAAUAUUGCACAAUGGGCGCAAGCCUGAUGCAGCCAUGCCGCGUGUAUGAAGAAGGCCUUCGGGUUGUAAAGUACUUUCAGCGAGGAGGAAGGCGAUAAGGUUAAUAACCCUUGUNCGAUUGACGUACNNCGCAGAAGAAGCCCCGUAUCUCG
rnacentral:rRNA from 1 species